rnacentral:rRNA from 1 species
ACGGAAGGCAGCAGUGGGGGAUAUUGCACAAUGGGCGCAAGCCUGAUGCAGCAACGCCGCGUGAGCGAUGAAGGUCUUCGGAUCGUAAAGCUCUGUCCAUAGGGAAGAAACAAAUGACGGUACCUGUGGAGGAAGCCCCGGCUAACUACGUGCCAGCAGCCGCGGUAAUACGUAGGGGGCAAGCGUUAUCCGGAAUCAUUGGGCGUAAAGGGUGCGUAGGCGGCUUUGUAAGCGUAGGGUGAAAGGCAUUGGCUUAACCGGUGUUAGCCUUACGAACUGCAUGGCUUGAGUACAGGAGAGGAAAGCGGAAUUCCUAGUGUAGCGGUGAAAUGCGUAGAUAUUAGGAGGAACACCAGUGGCGAAGGCGGCUUUCUGGACUGACACUGACGCUGAGGCACGAAAGCGUGGGGAGCAAACAGGAUUAGAUACCCUGGUA